UUGCAAUAGCGAUAGUAACGGUUAUCCUUUUGCUUGCCUUGCAAGGCAAGCAAAAGAUAAUAGUGGAUAGCGCGGUGACAC
rfam:Epilithonimonas sp. 36-9 SCNpilot_cont_300_bf_scaffold_366, whole genome shotgun sequence.